ACGGCUCAGUAACACGUAUACAACCUACCUAUAACAGGGGGAUAGCCUUUCGAAAGAGAGAUUAAUACCCCGUAAUAAAUUGAGUGGCAUCACCUGAUUUUGAAAGCUACGGCGGUUAUAGAUGGGUAUGCGUCUGAUUAGCUAGUUGGUGAGGUAACGGCUCACCAAGGCGACGAUCANUNNGGGAUCUGAGAGGACUAACCCCCACACUGGUACUGAGACACGGACCAGACUCCUACGGGAGGCAGCAGUAAGGAAUAUUGGUCAAUGGAGGCAACUCUGAACCAGCCAUGCCGCGUGCAGGAUGACGGCCCUAUGGGUUGUAAACUGCUUUUGUACCAGAGAAAACCUACUCACGUGUGAGUAGCUGAUAGUAUGGUAAGAAUAAGCAUCGGCUAACUUCGUGCCAGCAGCCGCGGUAAGACGAAGGAUGCAAGCGUUAUCCGGAUUCAUUGGGUUUAAAGGGUGCGUAGGCGGACUUGUAAGUCAGUGGUGAAAUCUCUUCGCUUAACGAA
rnacentral:rRNA from 1 species